ACUCUAAGCGGUGGAUCACUCGGCUCAUGGGUCGAUGAAGAACGCAGCAAACUGUGCGUCAUCGUGUGAACUGCAGGACACAUGAACAUCGACAUUUUGAACGCAUAUCGCAGUCCAUGCUGUUAUGUACUUUAAUUAAUUUUAUAGUGCUGCUUGGACUACAUAUGGUUGAGGGUUGUAAGACUAUGCUAAUUAAGUUGCUUAUAAAUUUUUAUAAGCAUAUGGUAUAUUAUUGGAUAAAUAUAAUAAUUUUUAUUCAUAAUAUUAAAAAAUAAAUGAAAAACAUUAUCUCACAUUUGAAUGUGAAAAACGAAGAGAAAUAUUUUCUUUUUCAAUCAAAUAAUACUGAGAAAUGUCUAGCAUAAAAAAUUGAAAUAUUUUUCAUCUAGAAUUGUCUCUUAUUAAUGAUUCGGAAAUAGAAAAAUCUUGGUUAUGUUAUUAUUCUUCGUUGGUUCGUUAAAAAUGGAUAAAUAAAAACUUUGCAUACAAGAAUUAAUAAAAAUGUUAUAACGAAUUUAAUUAAAUGUUUUAUCAUUAUAUAUAAAGAAUUUAUGGCAAGAUAAAGUUAUAUACAACCUCAACUCAUAUGGGACUACCCCCUGAAUUUAAGCAUAUUAAUUAGGGGAGGAAAAGAAACUAACAAGGAUUUUCUUAGUAGCGGCGAGCGAAAAGAAAACAGUUCAGCACUAAGUCACUUUGUCUAUAUGGCAAAUGUGAGAUGCAGUGUAUGGAGCGUCAAUAUUCUAGUAUGAGAAAUUAACGAUUUAAGUCCUUCUUAAAUGAGGCCAUUUACCCAUAGAGGGUGCCAGGCCCGUAUAACGUUAAUGAUUACUAGAUGAUGUUUCCAAAGAGUCGUGUUGCUUGAUAGUGCAGCACUAAGUGGGUGGUAAACUCCAUCUAAAACUAAAUAUAACCAUGAGACCGAUAGUAAACAAGUACCGUGAGGGAAAGUUGAAAAGAACUCUGAAUAGAGAGUUAAACAGUACGUGAAACUGCUUAGAGGUUAAGCCCGAUGAACCUGAAUAUCCGUUAUGGAAAAUUCAUCAUUAAAAUUGUAAUAUUUAAAUAAUAUUAUGAGAAUAGUGUGCAUUUUUUCCAUAUAAGGACAUUGUAAUCUAUUAGCAUAUACCAAAUUUAUCAUAAAAUAUAACUUAUAGUUUAUUCCAAUUAAAUUGCUUGCAUUUUAACACAGAAUAAAUGUUAUUAAUUUGAUAAAGUGCUGAUAGAUUUAUAUGAUUACAGUGCGUUAAUUUUUCGGAAUUAUAUAAUGGCAUAAUUAUCAUUGAUUUUUGUGUUUAUUAUAUGCACUUGUAUGAUUAACAAUGCGAAAGAUUCAGGAUACCUUCGGGACCCGUCUUGAAACACGGACCAAGGAGUCUAACAUAUGUGCAAGUUAUUGGGAUAUAAACCUAAUAGCGUAAUUAACUUGACUAAUAAUGGGAUUAGUUUUUUAGCUAUUUAUAGCUAAUUAACACAAUCCCGGGGCGUUCUAUAUAGUUAUGUAUAAUGUAUAUUUAUAUUAUUUAUGCCUCUAACUGGAACGUACCUUGAGCAUAUAUGCUGUGACCCGAAAGAUGGUGAACUAUACUUGAUCAGGUUGAAGUCAGGGGAAACCCUGAUGGAAGACCGAAACAGUUCUGACGUGCAAAUCGAUUGUCAGAAUUGAGUAUAGGGGCGAAAGACCAAUCGAACCAUCUAGUAGCUGGUUCCUUCCGAAGUUUCCCUCAGGAUAGCUGGUGCAUUUUAAUAUUAUAUAAAAUAAUCUUAUCUGGUAAAGCGAAUGAUUAGAGGCCUUAGGGUCGAAACGAUCUUAACCUAUUCUCAAACUUUAAAUGGGUAAGAACCUUAACUUUCUUGAUAUGAAGUUCAAGGUUAUGAUAUAAUGUGCCCAGUGGGCCACUUUUGGUAAGCAGAACUGGCGCUGUGGGAUGAACCAAACGUAAUGUUACGGUGCCCAAAUUAACAACUCAUGCAGAUACCAUGAAAGGCGUUGGUUGCUUAAAACAGCAGGACGGUGAUCAUGGAAGUCGAAAUCCGCUAAGGAGUGUGUAACAACUCACCUGCCGAAGCAACUAGCCCUUAAAAUGGAUGGCGCUUAAGUUGUAUACCUAUACAUUACCGCUAAAGUAGAUGAUUUAUAUUACUUGUGAUAUAAAUUUUGAAACUUUAGUGAGUAGGAAGGUACAAUGGUAUGCGUAGAAGUGUUUGGCGUAAGCCUGCAUGGAGCUGCCAUUGGUACAGAUCUUGGUGGUAGUAGCAAAUAAUCGAAUGAGACCUUGGAGGACUGAAGUGGAGAAGGGUUUCGUGUGAACAGUGGUUGAUCACGAGUUAGUCGGUCCUAAGUUCAAGGCGAAAGCCGAAAAUUUUCAAGUAAAACAAAAAUGCCUAACUAUAUAAACAAAGCGAAUUAUAAUACACUUGAAUAAUUUUGAACGAAAGGGAAUACGGUUCCAAUUCCGUAACCUGUUGAGUAUCCGUUUGUUAUUAAAUAUGGGCCUCGUGCUCAUCCUGGCAACAGGAACGACCAUAAAGAAGCCGUCGAGAGAUAUCGGAAGAGUUUUCUUUUCUGUUUUAUAGCCGUACUACCAUGGAAGUCUUUCGCAGAGAGAUAUGGUAGAUGGGCUAGAAGAGCAUGACAUAUACUGUUGUGUCGAUAUUUUCUCCUCGGACCUUGAAAAUUUAUGGUGGGGACACGCAAACUUCUCAACAGGCCGUACCAAUAUCCGCAGCUGGUCUCCAAGGUGAAGAGUCUCUAGUCGAUAGAAUAAUG
rnacentral:rRNA from 1 species